CCCUUGAAAUACCACCCUUUAAUGGCUGGUGUUCUAACGUAGACCCGUGAUCCGGGUUGCGGACAGUGUCUGGUGGGUAGUUUGACUGGGGCGGUCUCCUCCCAAAGAGUAACGGAGGAGCACGAAGGUUGGCUAAUCCUGGUCGGACAUCAGGAGGUUAGUGCAAUGGCAUAAGCCAGCUUGACUGCGAGCGUGACGGCGCGAGCAGGUGCGAAAGCAGGUCAUAGUGAUCCGGUGGUUCUGAAUGGAAGGGCCAUCGCUCAACGGAUAAAAGGUACUCCGGGGAUAACAGGCUGAUACCGCCCAAGAGUUCAUAUCGACGGCGGUGUUUGGCACCUCGAUGUCGGCUCAUCACAUCCUGGGGCUGAAGUAGGUCCCAAGGGUAUGGCUGUUCGCCAUUUAAAGUGGUACGCGAGCUGGGUUUAGAACGUCGUGAGACAGUUCGGUCCCUAUCUGCCGUGGGCGCUGGAGAAUUGAGGGGGGCUGCUCCUAGUACGAGAGGACCGGAGUGGACGCAUCACUGGUGUUCGGGUUGUCAUGCCAAUGGCACUGCCCGGUAGCUAAAUGCGGAAGAGAUAAGUGCUGAAAGCAUCUAAGCACGAAACUUGCCCC
rnacentral:rRNA from 1 species